AGUGAACGCUGGCGGUAGGCCUAACACAUGCAAGUCGAACGGCAGCACAGUAAGAGCUUGCUCUUACCGGUGGCGAGUGGCGGACGGGUGAGGAAUACAUCGGAAUCUACUUUUUCGUGGGGGAUAACGUAGGGAAACUUAUGCUAAUACCGCAUAUGAUCUACGGGUGAAAGCAGGGGAUCUUCGGACCUUGCGCGACUGAAUGAGCCGAUGUCGGAUUAGCUAGUUGGCGGGGUAAAGGCCCACCAAGGCGACGAUCCGUAGCUGGUCUGAGAGGAUGAUCGGCCACACUGGAACUGAGACACGGUCCAGACUCCUACGGGAGGCAGCAGUAGGGAAUAUUGGGCAAUGGGCGCAAGCCUGAUCCAGCCAUGCCGCGUGAGUGAAGAAGGCCUUCGGAUUGUAAAGCCCUUUUGUUGGGAAAGAAAAGCUGCGUGUUAAUACCCCGCUGUUCUGACGGUACCCAAAGAAUAAGCACCGGCUAACUUCGUG
rnacentral:rRNA from 1 species